AUCCGCGAACUUCUCGCCAUAGAUCGACUCCCCGCCGGUGCCGUUCCCGCGGGUGAAAUCGCCGCCCUGGCACAUGAAAUCGGGGAUGAUGCGGUGGAAGGAGGAUCCCUUGAAGUGGAGAGGCUUACCGGAGCGGCCGGUGCCCUUCUCGCCGGUGCAGAGGGCGCGGAAGUUCUCGGCGGUCCUGGGGACAACGUCGGCGAAGAGCUCCAUCACAACGCGACCAGCAGGGGCACCGCCGAUGGACAGGUCGAAGAAGACGCGGGGGUUGGAGGCGGCCAUCGAGAGCUAGGGAUUUGAGAUCGGUAGAAUUGGAGGCUAGGGUUUGAGAUCGGUGAUGGAG
rnacentral:misc_RNA from 1 species